rnacentral:rRNA from 1 species
AGAGUUUGAUCAUGGCUCAGGAUGAACGCUGGCGGCGUGCUUAAUACAUGCAAGUCGAACGAAGCUCCUUAUCUUCGGACGAGGAGUCUUAGUGGCGAACGGGUGCGUAACGCGUUGGUAACCUGCCCCAAAGUGGGGGAUAACAGUUCGAAAGGACUGCUAAUACCUCAUGGGAUCAUCAGGAUUAGAUGCUUGAUGAUUAAAGGAGUAAUCCGCUUUGGGAGGGGCCUGCGUCCCAUCAGCUAGUUGGUAGGGUAAUGGCCUACCAAGGCUAUGACGGGUAGGGGACCUGAGAGGGUGGCCCCCCACACUGGCACUGAAAUACGGGCCAGACACCUACGGGUGGCAGCAGUAGGGAAUAUUGCGCAAUGGGCGAAAGCCUGACGCAGCAACGCCGUGUGAGGGAUGAAGGCUUUCGGGUCGUAAACCUCUGUCAGAAGGGAAGAACGGGCAGUGGUCUAAUAGGGCCAUUGUUUUGACGGUACCUUCAGAGGAAGCACCGGCUAACUCCGUGCCAGCCGCCGCGGUAAUA